ACGUAGGUGGCGAGCGUUACUCGGAAUUACUAGGCGUAAAGCGCGUGUAGGCGGGAGGUUAAGUUCGCUGUUAAAUCUCAUAGCUCAACUAUGAAAUGCCGGCGAAUACUGGCCUUCUUGAAUUCGGUAGAGGUAACUGGAAUUCCAGGUGUAGCGGUGAAAUGCGUAGAUAUCUGGAAGAACGCCAAAGGCGAAGGCAGGUUACUGGGCCGCAAUUGACGCUGAGACGCGAAAGCUAGGGGAGCAAACAGGAUUAGAUACCCUGGUAGUCCUAGCUGUAAACGAUGUAGACCAGGUGUGGGAGGUAUCGACCCCUUCCGUGCCGACGCUAACGCAUUAAGUCUACCGCCUGGGGAGUACGGCCGCAAGGUUA
rnacentral:rRNA from 1 species